UACGUAAUAUUAACUUUUGUCAAAUACUAAAUCUGUUGUCAGAUCUGGCCUUAUCUUCUCGCUGCCUGGAUCCAAACCCUAGCCUAGCCUAGCCGCCUCUCUCUCCUGCUCCUCUCCUCUCCUCAGAUCUCCGACCACCACCACGGAAGGAUCCAUGGGCUCACCCUUCCUUCCUUGCAACCAACCCCCUGCCACCGUGCACCCUUCUUCCAUGGCGAUGGCGAUGGCGAGAGAGAUGGAUCUAGCCCCGCCGAAUCGAGACGCAUACCCGCCUCGCUGGCCGGACGGCAGCAACGUACCUCCCCUCACCCCGUCCAUGUCCAGAUGGGAAACAGCACGGUGGCGACCGGAGACUCUCACGGCGCUUGUUCCUCUUAUGGAUGGAUGGGUGACAGGGUUGGUUGGAUCUCUCUCUAUUUUAUGUUACACUAGUAUUACAGAUGGAUAUUUCCCAUCGAUCGAGUAAAACGAAUAUCCCAGCCGCAUCAGGCCCUGUUAGGCCGUCUCCUCUCCUGUGUAUGUCCCACCACUUCGGCAAGAUGGAUUUGCUUGUGUUUUAGAGGCCGUAUGCUCUGUGAAGGCCUCCAGCUCUGUUUUGUCUGAUGCAAAGCAACUUCCUUGAUCCUGGUAGUCGCUCUAUCAUCUCGUGAUUCUAUCAUCUUGAAAAGCAUUUCUUUCAUCCUUAUGUUUUAGAGGCUGCAUUUGAUGCACACUUGUGAAGGCCUCCAGCUCUGUUUUGUCUGAUGCAAAGCAACUUCCUUGAUCCUGGUAGUCGCUCUAUCAUCUCGUGAUUCUAUCAUCUUGAGAAGCAUUUCUUUCAUCCUUAUGAAUCCUACAAAUCAAGUCACUCCAUUGCUUGUGAGGUGUAGCCAAGAAGAAGACUAAAGUGUUGAAAUCACAGAAGACUAAAGUAUUGAAAUCUUCAUAUGAGUCUCACUUUUUUUAAAUCAAGUCGUCCCAUCGCCUGUGAGGUGUAGCUAAGAUACAACUUCAGUAUUCAGCAAGAUUAAAUAGCCAAGAAGAAGAGAGUGUAGUGUGGCCCUUCCUGGCACCUCCUCUAAGCUAAGCAUAAAGUGUUGUGAUACAAGUCUCAUUUUUUUUAAGAACAAGAAGAAGAAGGCGAAGGUGUAGUGUGUAGCCGUGCUCGUAGGGUCGCCCGCUGGGGAUUUCUUCUACCGAUACAAUAGUUUUCAAUUUCCUUACUGUACGUGUGUCUGGACCUUGGAUUCUUCUGGCUGUUUUUGAUAUGAUUCUCUCUUUCCCUGUGCAGGUAUGAAGGUGUACAAAUCUUGCCCAUGAACCCACUCUUCUUGGUAAUAAUCCUACUCUAUUGUCAUAGUUUUUCUUUUUUCAAGAAAGUAUGCUAGUUGUAGAUAGUUGAUUUAAACAAAGGAAUAGUCAAGAUAAACACCUCUAGCACUGACGGGGCAGUGCAUACUGAUCUUAGCAUCGACCAGUAAGCUUACCAGUGGUGCAAAGCUUAGCAUUACUAACACAGCUAAAUAAAUGUGAUGCGGCUGCUCUCAACGGACCACAUGCACCAUCCGUAACACCAAGUUGCUCAAUUCCUUACUGAACUAAGACUAGAGCUGUUUGUAAGCAAUCUCUAAGGAUCCACCACACGGUUUACAAAACGUUAGCACGCAGAUGCAGAUUAACAGAGCAGAAAAUAGUUCACUGGGUAUUCAAAAUUGCCGAUCAAGACAUUCUCUUGUAUGCUGGUAGCAAUUCUCUAGAAGUUGAUACCUUCAUCCUGCAACCACAAAGAGAAUACAGUUUUACUUUUAGGAAAAAUUCUUGUGAAUACUGAAGUUGUCAACUUCAUUAACCAGAUAGAUGAAAAAUACAGUAGGAUGUGCAGCAGCAGUUGUUGUGCACCACACCAUUUGCAUAAAGUGCAGACUAAGUUUGUUUAUACUCAGCUUGUAGUUAUAGUUAUAGGUUUUGUCUACGCCUAAUCAUUUCAAGUGCAACCGCUGUCACAGAAUGAUUUAAUGAGGCAAUACCCUGAUUCUGCACCUAUUUCCAAGAUUCUUAUGAGGCAAUACCCUGUUCAAGCUAAUUAUACAAAAGCGUGUAUAUAACAUAUUCAUCCUUUUUUCAGAAUCAUGCAAACCUAAUCGUCCCUUUGCUUUUUUAAAGUCUGCUCAUGAUUUUGGGAUGCUCACAGGGUUCCAGCCAAAGCUGGGGCGUCCCAAGGUCCAUAGCUAGGCUAGGCUGUCCACAAAAUGAAUGGAGGGUGUGAAUGGCUCGGGCAGAUAAAAUAUAAUGUCCAGCAGCACAGGAUGAACUGUUAUGCAACACACCACUACACAAGGUAAAGUAAUACUCCCUCCGUCCGAAAAUACUUGUCGGAGAAAUGCAUAAAAAUGAAUGUAUCUAGAACUAAAAUACAUCUAGAUACAUUCAUUCCUCCGACGAGUAUUUCCGGACGGAGGGAGUACUACAGGAAAGGAUUACACUUUACUUGCUGUCGGGUGGUAUAUGAUACAUCAUACCUGUAGUGGUGGGGCACAUAUGAUUCUGUGCAUUGAUUAGUAUUCUGGUUUGCUAUCUCGAGACUACUUUUAGUGCCUAAUGCCUAUGGUUCUUAGUUAUUACUCCCUCCGCUCCAUAAUAUAGUGCCUAUAGAUUUUUUGAGAAGUCAAACUUUGACCAAGUUUGUAGAGAAAAAUAUUUAUAUCUAUAAUAGCAAAAAUAUAUAAUGUGAAACUACAUCUUAUGAUGAAUCUAGUGAUAUAUGUUUCGCACUCUAGACGUAAAUAUUUUUCUCCACAAACUUGGUCAAAGUUUUGUGAAGUUUGACUUUUCAAAAAAUCUAUAGGCACUACAUUAUGGAACGGAGGGAGUAGUACUCGCAAUUUAUAUUUGACGAGGUGUAUACCAUGUUAAGCUAGCGGCUAUAAAAGUUUUGCUAAUUUUAUCACAUAACCUUCAGGUUACAUAUGCAGUUUCCAUAAAUAAAACCUGAUGUGUAAAUCAUUUGUUGUGCAAGUAUCUAAAUUCGUAGUGAUGGAGAUUUUCGAAGCAAAUCAAAGGCUGGCUGGCUACCUUUCCCUUUAGUGUCCCCUUAGCACAUUGAGCACUCUACUGAUGACUGGCCCAACGCUUCACCUGAAAAAAUAAAUGAAAAAUGGCGUCAAGUAAUGAUGCAGGUCAGCUUUUUGCAGCAAUGCUUCAAGGAGAAUUGGUUGAGGGAAGUAUCAUCAGCUACUCACGAGAGCUCCGAUUCUUAGGCCCUUGACCCUGAUCCCCAUGUUAGCAAUCUCAUUGCGUCUGGUUGAACUUUGCUUUAAAUCAAGUCUGCACAGGAGAGGGAAAUUCUGUAAAAAUGGUUGUUUGUAUGUUUGUAAAUCUUGCAAUUUUCAUUUUAUUUUGCACUCGUCUACGUACUUGUGCUCUCGGACA